rnacentral:lncRNA from 1 species
GAGUGGAGCCCUAGUCGAUUGGCAACCCGCCGCCAAAGGUGGUGGUUCAUUUUGACAAGCGCAGGGACUGGUCUUUAAGUUUAACCCUAGUACCUUCCCCAAAUCAGAAUGGCACUAAACCCAAUGGUGCGGGCAUUGCAGCGGCCAACCACCAUCAAUACUCCAUCUAUGUUCUUCAUCCUAUCAUUUUGGAUCUGUGUGGAUGUUAGAGGUGAUGGUGAAACUCUUAGCCAAGUUGUAUCGUCUCAGGAGGUUGACAUAUUUUAAAGAAGGGAUCUUUUUGGAGCUCAGAGCAUUGUCAUUAACAAGCCUCUUUCCCAGUAACCUAAUCGUUACUUCUAGUGGUGGAAAAUGGGCUGGUUAAGUGGAUCGGGUAACGGGUCAAAAGGAGUAAUUUUUUGGUACAAAUUACAACAGAUGGGGUCGGCUCGACUCACUUUUUGUUCAGAAGUUUUAGUUUUUUUAAUAAUAGUUGACGUGUCAAGUACGAUCACCAAAGUUAUAUUGUUAAAAAAAUAAUAAAAAAAGCUUGACUCGACUCGACCCGAAACCCGUUCCGACCCGGACCUGUUUUGACCCGAACCAAAACAACCUUUUUUUAUAAUUGACCGUUCUGACCCAUUACCCGACCCGACCCGUUUGCCAGGUCUAGAAAUAUUAAAGUAGGAACUCAUACUAUCUUAUAAGUCAAUUUCAUAUAAAAAGAGGACCUUUUUUAUGAGGUGUCUGCACCAUUAGAUUUGUUUGCAUUGUUUAUCAAUUAGAUUUGUUUGCAUUGUUUAUCUGCUUGGUUUUGACUUGGGUUAGAAUGGUUUCAGGUCAGAAUGGGUUCAAUUGGGUUCGGGUCAAAACGGGUCGCAACCAAAAUAAGUUUGGGUCAAGAUGGAUUCUAGCAAAAAUAGGUACGGGUCAAAAUGGAUCAACUUUGACUAUAUUAAACUACCAUAAGAGAAUCCCUUAUGUAUUAACGCUACGGUAAGCACUUAAUCCCUUAUGUAAAUUGUGGUUGUAAUGAUAUUGUAAAUAUUGACACCCUUUAGUUUAAACUUAAAUCGCAAUGGUUUCACAUUUCUUGAUAUUUUUAAUUGUGGUAGUGUCUACGUCAGCCAGGAGGUACUGAAUGCGGCUACUAUGUGAUGAAAUUCAUGAAGGAGAUAGCUUACGAAGGAGUUGAAAUACUUGAUAAUGAUAAUGGAAAGGAGUAGAAGAAUACUCGGCUGCGGAUAUGGAUGACAUUCAUGAAGAUUGGUUGACUUAUGCGAUUAACCUUAUUUUUAAGUUAUAAAUCUUAUUUUAGGUGUUGAUAAUGUAUUGACAAACAAUUCUUUUUUUGUUAAUGUAAAAAUAUUUGUAGUAUACUUGGCAAAUGAUUAUGUAAUGGAUUGUUUUGGUAUAUAUAUGUGUGUGUAUUUGUU